AUACGGAGGGUCCAAGCGUUAUCCGGAAUCAUUGGGUUUAAAGGGUUCGUAGGCGGGUCAAUAAGUCAGAGGUGAAAUCUUGCAGCUUAACUGUAAAAUUGCCUUUGAUACUGUUGACCUUGAAUUACUGUGAAGUGGUUAGAAUAUGUAGUGUAGCGGUGAAAUGCUUAGAGAUUACAUAGAAUACCGAUUGCGAAGGCAGAUCACUAACAGUAUAUUGACGCUGAUGAACGAAAGCGUGGGUAGCGAACGGGAUUAGAAACCCUAGUAGUCC
rnacentral:rRNA from 1 species